GAUUGCAGGCUGCAACCCGCCUGCAUGAAGUCGGAAUCGCUAGUAAUCGCGGAUCAGCAUGCCGCGGUGAAUACGUUCCCGGGCCUUGUACACACCGCCCGUCACACCAUGAGAGUCGGGAACACCCGAAGUCCGUAGCCUAACCGCAAGGGGGCGCGGCCGAAGGUGGGUUCGAUAAUUGGGGUGAAGUCGUAACAAGGUACC
rnacentral:rRNA from 1 species